rnacentral:rRNA from 1 species
UCAGUCGACUCCUACGGGGAGGCAGCAGUGGGGAAUAUUGCGCAAUGGGCGAAAGCCUGACGCAGCAACGCCGCGUGCGGGAUGACGGCCUUCGGGUUGUAAACCGCUUUCAGCAGGGAAGAAGCCGCAAGGUGACGGUACCUGCAGAAGAAGCACCGGCUAACUACGUGCCAGCAGCCGCGGUAAUACGUAGGGUGCAAGCGUUGUCCGGAUUUAUUGGGCGUAAAGAGCUCGUAGGCGGUAUGUCGCGUCGGAUGUGAAAAUACCAAGGCUCAACCUUGGACCUGCAUCCGAUACGGGCACACUAGAGUGUGGUAGGGGAGACUGGAACUCCUGGUGUAGCGGUGAAAUGCGCAGAUAUCAGGAAGAACACCAAUGGCGAAGGCAGGUCUCUGGGCCAUUACUGACGCUGAGGAGCGAAAGCGUGGGGAGCAAACAGGAUUAGAUACCCUGGUAG